GGCUCAGGAUGAACGCUAGCGGCAGGCUUAAUACAUGCAAGUCGUGGGGCAGCAGGUCCGUAGCAAUACGGAUGGCUGGCGACCGGCAAACGGGUGCGGAACACGUACGCAACUUUCCUUCAAGUGGGGAAUAGCCCAGGGAAACUUGGAUUAAUACCCCUUAACAUUAUGAGAUGGCAUCGUCUUAUAAUUAAAGCUCCGGCGCUUGAAGAUGGGCGUGCGCCUGAUUAGGUAGUUGGCGGGGUAAUGGCCCACCAAGCCUACGAUCAGUAACUGGUGUGAGAGCACGACCAGUCACACGGGCACUGAGACACGGGCCCGACUCCUACGGGAGGCAGCAGUGAGGAAUAUUGGUCAAUGGGCGAGAGCCUGAACCAGCCAAGUCGCGUGGAGGAAGACGGCCCUACGGGUUGUAAACUCCUUUUACCUGGGAAUAACGGGCGCUACGCGUAGCGCUGUGCAUGUACCGGGAGAAUAAGCAUCGGCUAAUUCCGUG
rnacentral:rRNA from 1 species